rnacentral:rRNA from 1 species
UGGGGAAUAUUGGACAAUGGGCGCAAGCCUGAUCCAGCGACGCCGCGUGUGGGAUGAAGGUCUUCGGAUUGUAAACCACUGUCGCGAGGGACGAAGCUCUGACGGUACCUCGAAAGGAAGCACCGGCUAACUCUGUGCCAGCAGCCGCGGUAAUACAGAGGGUGCGAGCGUUGUCCGGAAUCACUGGGCGUAAAGGGCGCGUAGGCGGCCCGGUAAGUAGGGGGUGAAAUCUCAUGGCUCAACUGUGAGGCUGCCUUCUAGACUGCCAGGCUUGAGCACAGUAGAGGCGAGUGGAAUUCCCGGUGUAGCGGUGGAAUGCGUAGAGAUCGGGAAGAACAUCGGUGGCGAAGGCGGCUCGCUGGGCUGUUGCUGACGCUGAGGCGCGAAAGCGUGGGGAGCAAACAGGAUUAGAUACCCGGGUAGUCCCUGAGCGGGCUGGCAAGGCGCAU